CCUACGGGGUGCAGCAGUGAGGAAUAUUGGUCAAUGGACGCAAGUCUGAACCAGCCAUGCCGCGUGCAGGAAGACGGCUCUAUGAGUUGUAAACUGCUUUUGUACGAGGGUAAACGCAGAUACGCGUAUCUGUCUGAAAGUAUCUUACGAAUAAGCAUCGGCUAACUCCGUGCCAGCAGCCGCGGUAAUACGGAGGAUUCAAGCGUUAUCCGGAUUUAUUGGGUUUAAAGGGUGCGUAGGCGGUCGGAUAAGUUAGAGGUGAAAUCCCGAGGCUCAACCUCGGAAUUGCCUCUGAUACUGUUCGUCUAGAGAGUAGUAGAGGUAGGCGGAAUGUAUGGUGUAGCGGUGAAAUGCUUAGAGAUCAUGCAGAACACCGAUUGCGAAGGCAGCUUACCAAGCUACUUCUGACGUUGAGGCACGAAAGCGUGGGGAGCAAACAGGAUUAGAUACCCUAGUAGUC
rnacentral:rRNA from 1 species